AACGCGAAGAACCUUACCUACUCUUGACAUCUACAGGAUCCUGCGGAGACGCGGGAGUGCCUUCGGGAACUGUAAGACAGGUGCUGCAUGGCUGUCGUCAGCUCGUGUUGUGAAAUGUUGGGUUAAGUCCCGCAACGAGCGCAACCCUUAUCCUUGUUUGCCAGCACGUAAUGGUGGGAACUCUAGGGAGACUGCCGGUGAUAAACCGGAGGAAGGUGGGGACGACGUCAAGUCAUCAUGGCCCUUACGAGUAGGGCUACACACGUGCUACAAUGGCGCAUACAGAGGGCGGCCAACUUGCGAAAGUGAGCGAAUCCCAAAAAGUGCGUCGUAGUCCGGAUUGGAGUCUGCAACUCGACUCCAUGAAGUCGGAAUCGCUAGUAAUCGUGGAUCAGAAUGCCACGGUGAAUACGUUCCCGGGCCUUGUACACACCG
rnacentral:rRNA from 1 species